rnacentral:rRNA from 1 species
UGGUGGAGUGAUUUGUCUGGUUAAUUCCGAUAACGAACGAGACUCUAGCCUACUAAAUAGACCGCUGAUUGUAUCUCUAGUGAGUGAAGCCUCGGUGGAUCUCACUUGGGAAUUUAAACGUCAGUCGGUAUACUUCUUAGAGGGACAGGCGGAAUAUAAGCCGCACGAGAUUGAGCAAUAACA